rnacentral:rRNA from 1 species
ACACUCCUGCGGGAGGCAGCAGUGGGGAAUAUUGCACAAUGGGCGCAAGCCUGAUGCAGCCAUGCCGCGUGUGUGAAGAAGGCCUUCGGGUUGUAAAGCACUUUCAGCGGGGAGGAAGGCGAUACGGUUAAUAACCGUGUUGAUUGACGUUACCCGCAGAAGAAGCACCGGCUAACUCCGUGCCAGCAGCCGCGGUAAUACGGAGGGUGCAAGCGUUAAUCGGAAUUACUGGGCGUAAAGCGCACGCAGGCGGUCUGUCAAGUCGGAUGUGAAAUCCCCGGGCUCAACCUGGGAACUGCAUUCGAAACUGGCAGGCUUGAGUCUUGUAGAGGGGGGUAGAAUUCCAGGUGUAGCGGUGAAAUGCGUAGAGAUCUGGAGGAAUACCGGUGGCGAAGGCGGCCCCCUGGACAAAGACUGACGCUCAGGUGCGAAAGCGUGGGGAGCAAACAGGAUUAGAAACCCUUGUAGUCCCAUG